GCGCCCGUAGCUCAACCGGAUAGAGCACCGACCUUCUAAGUCGGGGGUUUCAGGUUCGAUUCCUGUCGGGCGUGCCA
rnacentral:tRNA from 2 species